CCUACGGGAGGCAGCAGUGGGGAAUAUUGGGCUAUGGGCGCAAGCCUGACCCAGCAACGCCGCGUGAAGGAAGAAGGCUUUCGGGUUGUAAACUUCUUUUCUCAGGGACGAAGAAAGUGACGGUACCUGAGGAAUAAGCCACGGCUAACUACGUGCCAGCAGCCGCGGUAAUACGUAGGUGGCAAGCGUUAUCCGGAUUUACUGGGUGUAAAGGGCGUGUAGGCGGGAAAGCAAGUCAGAUGUGAAAACCAUGGGCUCAACCUGUGGCCUGCAUUUGAAACUGUUUUUCUUGAGUACUGGAGAGGCAGACGGAAUUCCUCGUGUAGCGGUGAAAUGCGGAGAUAUGAGGAGGAACACCAGUGGCGAAGGCGGUCUGCUGGACAGCAACUGACGCUGAGGCGCGAAAGCGUGGGGAGCAAACAGGAUUAGAUACCCGAGUAGUC
rnacentral:rRNA from 1 species